UUAUUCCUGAUUAAUGUUUCUCACCUAAGAUGUUGGAGAAUUUUAGGGGGGAAAAAAAUCCCAAAAAAUACAUACAAAACAACCCCCAAACAAACAGCCUAACUCAGGAAAGUUUUUAAUCUUAUAAUAAAGCUGUAAGCAUGCACCUAUUUAUGUAUCUUUUGGGGAAGGUUUUAUGGCUGGGUCUAACUGUCCUAACAUAAACAUUAUUGGUGUACAUUGGUAAGGUUAGCACUGUUGCUGAAAUGGUACAUUUGCUGUAAUCACUCAUGUACCUUAUUUGAUAAGAUAAUAAUACUGAGAGCUGCUAUACUGACCAAGGCCAAGCCAAAAGUGUACAUGGGCGAGGAAUCUGUAGUAACAGCUCCAUUCAGCGAGACUGAUAAGCAAGAGAGAUUCCACUGCUGCAACCACCCCUUUAGCUAACAGCCUGUUACACUGAUGAGGUUUCCUACUGCCAUCUACUGAAUGCUUCAAGCCAGAGGGGAAUAAAAAUUCUGGCUCUUGGUUCCCAAAUAAAUGCAAUUGCUUGCUUCUGCAAAGAGAGAGAGAAAGCAGAGCUUGAUUCACCUCCAUCUCUAACAUUCCCUUUAUUUGUCUUCUUUUCAAAUUCAGAAAGAAUUUGGGUUUUUAAAAAGCUUUCCUCUGCUGAAAGUAGAAACUUCAGGUGUGAUCAAGGGAACCAUUAUCGCUUUACUCUUUGCAUUUUCCAUCAACUGUGGCUUCCCCUAUACCAAUGUAUGUAAACAUAGACAGUAUUUUUUAAUUGUUGCUUUCCUAUUUUUCUUCAUUUUAUCUAGUGCAAAUACAAACAACAGUCGUUUUAGAUAAUCUUAUCUUUUGUCUCUUAAUUACUUUACAUUAGAUUCAACAUUUUUAGAUCCAGAAGUCUUUGCAGAAGUUACAAUCUUUAAUUAUUGGAAUUCAAUUGGAAUAAUUGGAAUCCAUUGGAUUAAUGGUGCUUUUCAUUGUUUCACAAUAAAUCCAAACUAAGAAAACAAA
rnacentral:lncRNA from 1 species